rnacentral:rRNA from 1 species
UACGGAGGUGGCAAGCGUUGUUCGGAAUUACUGGGCGUAAAGGGCGCGUAGGCGGCAUGGCAAGUCAGAUGUGAAAGCUCCGGGCUUAACCUGGGAAUUGCAUCUGAAACUGUUGUGCUUGAGUUCUGGAGGGGGUAGUGGAAUUCCCAGUGUAGCGGUGAAAUGCGUAGAUAUUGGGAGGAACACCUGCGGCGAAGGCGGCUACCUGGACAGAUACUGACGCUGAGGCGCGAAAGCUAGGGGAGCAAACGGGAUUAGAUACCCCCGUAGU